rnacentral:misc_RNA from 1 species
AACUCAGUUUACCUGCAACUGUAAGUUUCGUCUCUCUCCGUGGAGAAAGAGGCACAGAGAGAUAGAGAGAGGGGGAUGGAUCAUUUUCUAUGGCGGAUAUUACCUCUGCUGGCACUUCUGGUUCUCUACUUCUACUACGUCCAUGAUUCUUCCAAGUUUUCUACCAGUGAUUGCAGUCUUCUUCCAUACAACCAUUACUGGAUAACCAGCAAGGGCAUUGUGACACCUCGUGGAGUCAUUUCUGGUGCAGUUGAGGUGAAGGAAGGGAUUAUUGUAUCCAUAGUUAAGGAAGAAGAUUGGCAGAGAAAUUCCAAGAGAGGACAGAUAAUUGAUUAUGAUGAAGCCGUCAUUAUGCCUGGCCUCAUCGACGUGCAUGCGC